rnacentral:lncRNA from 1 species
CUUCUCCCUUUGAGACCUUCAUAAUCUCAGCUUUCAACCACCCAGUUAUGUUUCUAGAACUUCUAUAAUAUGCUUUAUACUCCCUAGAAUGAUUUAAAGUUUUUACACAACCCAGAUCGACUCUUUGACUUCCUAGUUAAUAACACCUAAUUCAAAGAAAAUGGAAAGACUUCAAAAGACAUACGCUUUCAUCAUCUAUUUGUGGAUGAAAUGCACUACUCACCUAUAGUUUUGUACAGAUGUGAUUGUUCGGAAUAAUCAAACCACUUCCUGAAAGAAAAGAUUUGCAACAUGGGUUCCAUCAAGGGCUGUUUUACAUGCUAUAAAAUGUUCCAUUUUAGAAAAAAAAUCAACCACAACAAACAAUAAAAUCUACAACUUUUUCUGUUUGAAGCAACCCUAAUAUAAAAUCCACACUAACUUCUAUCCAAGGGAUUGUAGGUACUCAUAGAUGGCUAUAAAAGCCAGUAUUUUGUUGUUGGCCCUUGGAAAUUUGGCAUACAUGACAUUUAUCUACAUGCCUAUACACAUCUUGUCGCAAUGUAGGCCAAAAGUACCUUUCAAAAACUAAAUUCAGUGUCUUAUUUCUGCCAAAAUGUCCCGUUAAACCACCACCAUGCAAUUCUCCAAUCAAUGCUCCCUCAAAGAACCUUCAAGUAUGAACAAUCUAACUCCCUUGAACAAAUAACCAUCAUUAAAGACAAAUUCAGCAAGUACCUUGCUGUCUUUGGCAUCAUAUUUCUCAAGCACUUCUUGGAAAAAUGAGUCUUCCAUGAUCUACUCCUUGAUAACCUCCAGCCCAACCACACUAUUAGUCAUUGUUUGCAAUAAAUAAACCCUUCUACUUAAUGCAUCAGCCACUCUGUUUAGUGAACCAGCCUUGUGUCUGAGUGAGAACGUUUAUUCUUGCAAGCAUGCCACCCACUUUGCAUGUCUACAGUUUAGCUUUCGUUGAGAGUUGAGACACUUCAAAGCCUCAUGGUCUGAAUGUCAAAUGAACUCCCUUUGAAUUAAGUAAUGACACCAAAACUUCAAAGCUUGAACAAUAGCAUACAAUUCAACAUCAUAAGUUGAAUAGUUAUGCUGAGUCCCUUGAAGUUUUUCACUGAAGUAUGCAAUCGGCUUCCACUCUUGAUUUAGGACACCCCCGAUUCCUACUUUGGAUGCAUCACAAUCUAUUUCAAAUAUCUUAUCCAAAAUCUAGUAAAGCUAGAAUUUAUGCUUGUGUCAUCCUUCUAUUGAUCUCUCAGAAACUUUCCUUAGCUUGAAACUCCCAUCUGUAUUAGCCCCCUUUAAGGCACUCUGUCAGUGGUGCCAUUAUAAUGCUAAAAUUAUUAAUAAAUCUCCUAUAAAAUGUAGUCAGACCAUGAAAACUUCUAAUUUUAGUUAAGGUUUUUGGGGUGGGCCAACUUGUAAUGGCUUCAACCUUGGUUGAAUCAACUUCUACACCCUUUAUUGAAACUACAAAUCCCAUAAACUCCAAUCAGUCACACCAUAAAAGACACUUCUUUAUGUUGGCAUAAAGUUGAUUUUCCUUGAGAAGCUGUAACACAAACUUCAAGUGUCAACCAUGAGUCUUGGUAUCUUUGCUAUAAAUUAGGAUGUCAUCAAAAUAAACGACAACAAACUUUUCAAUGCAUAGUUUAAGCAUUUGGUUCAUAAAGCUCAUAGAAGUGUUUGGGGCAUUUGAAAGACCAAAAGGCAUAACCAACCAUUCAUAGAGAUCACCCUUGGUCUUGAAUACUGUUUUCCACUCAUUGCCUACCUGAAUCCUUAUUUGAAGGUAGCCACUUUUCAAGUUCAUUUUUUGAGAAAAUCUAAGACCCUGCUAACUUAUCCAACAUGUCAUCCAGACUUGGUAUUGGAAAUCUAUAUUUAAUAGUGAUCUUAUUUAUGGCUCUACUGACAACACAUAUUUUCCAAGUUCCAUCCUUCUUUGGUGUGAGUAGAGAUGGUACAACAUAUGGACUUAAACUCUCCUGAAUAAAGCCUUUCUUGAGAAGCUCUACAACCUGUCUAUGAAGCUCCCAAUGGUCUUUCAGACUCAUUCUAUAGCAAGGCAAAUUUGGAAGAGUGGCUGCUAGCACAAAAUCAAAGUGGUGUUGUAUUUUCUUUAGUGGAGGUAACCCAUUUGGCAAUUCAGUAGGCAUUACAUCUAUAAACUAAUCUAACAAUCUGUACACACUUUUUGGUACCAUUUGAGGCCUGAUGACUUCUUUUCCAACGAGAGAAUAAACAAUUCCAUCUUCCUUACUUUCCUCCACAGAGUCACUUAAAUUUGAAAACAAAGUUGAGCACUAACUUAUUUCUUGACAACCACCUGAUCUCUCAUUGAUUUCAACACCCUCCUCCUUUCCCAAGUAAAAAGAAUAGGUAUUCUUGUCACCAUGGUGGAUUGUUUUCCUAUCAAAUUGCCAUGGACGACCUAGAAGAAAGUGGCAUGCAUCCGUUGGUACCAUGUCACACCACACAAACUCUUUAAUCCAUUUCAAAAAGUUCACAAGGCACUUUGAUGACAUGAGUACUUCAUUUCCUUUGAUGAACCAAAGAAUGCAAUAUGUUUGUGGAUACUUCAACAUUUUCAGCUUUAGUUUGUCUACAUCUCUUGAGAAACCAGGUUCUUGCUACUCCCACUAUCAAUAAUCAAAUUACAAAGUUUACCUCCUAAGGUGCAACAUGUUCUAAAGAUAUUCUUGUGAAGCCAAUCAUCCUUUUCUUAAACAGGUGGUGUGAGAACAAAUGACUAUCACAUCACCUACCAUGUCACCUUCAAUCCCCUUUUCUUUAUCAUCAGUGGCUUUACUUUUCCCAGGUUGCUUUCCCUCCUCUUCAAUUACAAAGAUUUCUUUACAAUCUUUCUCUUCAUCUUCUGCAAAAUUAACUUGAACAUUUAGUUUUUUCUUUCGAUAUUCAUUAGAUCGAUGCCCAAACACUGCACACCUGUAGCACUUAAUCAAAUUUUUUCCUUGAGCAUGGAGUGUUUGAACUGUUUUUCCACCUGGUCUUACAGGGACUGUUCUUUGUCCUCCUCAAGUAACAUUAUUUGUUUUACUAAUUGUUGCACUACUACGUUUAGGUCCAGAUUUCUAGGAAGAAUCUCAAUUAAAUUUGGCUUCAACUUUGAGAGCAAGUUGGUAGACAUCACUAACCUUACAUGGAUGUUGGAGGCUCACUUGCUCUUGCAUGGCUAAUCUGAGACUGUUGAUAUAACAACUGACUUUUUGAGUUUCAGUUUUAACCAAGUUGCUUCUCAAUGUCAACUAAUGGAACUUAUGUAUACUCCUCCACAGUCUUGUCACACUGCCACAAAUUCUGCACCCUUUGAUACAAUGUUUGCUCAUAGUCUUGAGGCAAAAAUUGUGCUUUCAGUUUAUCUUUCAUCUUGCUCCAAUUUCUGAUUUUUCCCUUACCCCUCAUUUCUCUAUCAUGUUGAUAAUGUUUCCACCAAAAAGUAGCUGUUCCUCUCAACUUGGCUUCAAAAAGCUUAACUUUCCUCUCCUCUGGCACUUCUUUCCAAUCAAAAUAACUUUCAAUGUUGUCAAGCCAGUCCACAAACUCUUCUAAUUCCAUCCAACCAUCAAAUUCUGAAAUUUGAACUUGCACACUGUACUCCUUUAAAUUUUGUAGAGCCUGUACAAUGCAUUCUUCCCACCAUUGAGGUCUCAUGUUUUGCUACAUCAGUAUCCUUACAUUGUUUGCUCUGUCAUCAAAAGAGUUGCCACUUGCUCUUCAAAUAAUUGAUGACACACCUCUUCCUCUUCCCUUGGAUGAUUCGAUUCACAACUAUGAUCAUUGCCACAAUUACCAAUUACUUAUUCAAAUGCAGCAGGCAGUUGUUGGAUCUGCUCCUACAGCUCUUAAAACAUCUCUAUUGUGACAAUUUCCAUGUGCAUUCCUUGAAGCCAUAGCUUCCAAAUAUUAAGACCUUUUCAUGAACUCAGAAUCACAAGGAAGAAACCUGCUUUGAUACCAAUCUGAUGUAAACCAAGUGUUGUAACAAGUUGGUGGCAGAUUGCUGAGCUCUCGUGCAAUAUGCAAGUAGAGGGAUUGAAAGAUGCCACAAGGUUGACUCCUCAAACCUAAUCUUCUAAUACUUGAAACAGUCUUUCUUGUCAAGAGAGAUCUGGAAAAAUUCCUUUUCCUUUUCUUUUUUUUUUUUAUUUAUUUUUUUAUUAUUAUUUUUUUAGAAUGCCAAAAAAAGACUGAUUACCUUCUCCCUUUGAAACCUUCAUAAUCUCAGCUUUCAACUACCUAGUUAUGUUUUCUAGACCUUCUGUAACAUUCCUUAUACGUCCUAGAGUGAUUUAAUGUUUUCACAUAACCUAGAUUGACUCUUUGACUUCCUAGUUAAUAACACCUAAUUCAAAGAAAACAGAAAGCCUUCAAAUAGAUAUAGGCUUCCAUCAAGUUGCUUAGGCUUAGUAUAGACAAAUUUCCUUGUGA